GCCUGGAUAGCUCAGUUGGUUAAAGCAUGGUGCUGAUCACGCCAAGGUUGCAGGUUCGAUCCCCAACAGCUGCA